rnacentral:rRNA from 1 species
AGGAAGGCUCGUCCGCUCUGGGUUAGUCGGGUCCUAAGCUGAGGCCGACAGGCGUAGGCGAUGGAUAACAGGUUGAUAUUCCUGUACCACCUAUAAUCGUUUUAAUCGAUGGGGGGACGCAGUAGGAUAGGCGAAGCGUGCGAUUGGAUUGCACGUCUAAGCAGUAAGGCUGAGUAUUAGGCAAAUCCGGUACUCGUUAAGGCUGAGCUGUGAUGGGGAGAAGACAUUGUGUCUUCGAGUCGUUGAUUUCACACUGCCGAGAAAAGCCUCUAGAUAGAAAAUAGGUGCCCGUACCGCAAACCGACACAGGUAGUCAAGAUGAGAAUUCUAAGGUGAGCGAGCGAACUCUCGUUAAGGAACUCGGCAAAAUGACCCCGUAACUUCGGGAGAAGGGGUGCUCUUUAGGGUUAACGCCCAGAAGAGCCGCAGUGAAUAGGCCCAAGCGACUGUUUAUCAAAAACACAGGUCUCUGCUAAACCGUAAGGUGAUGUAUAGGGGCUGACGCCUGCCCGGUGCUGGAAGGUUAAGAGGAGUGGUUAGCUUCUGCGAAGCUACGAAUCGAAGCCCCAGUAAACGGCGGCCGUAACUAUAACGGUCCUAAGGUAGCGAAAUUCCUUGUCGGGUAAGUUCCGACCCGCACGAAAGGCGUAACGAUUUGGGCACUGUCUCAACGAGAGACUCGGUGAAAUCAUAGUACCUGUGAAGAUGCAGGUUACCCGCGACAGGACGGAAAGACCCCGUGGAGCUUUACUGUAGCCUGAUAUUGAAAUUCGGCACAGCUUGUACAGGAUAGGUAGGAGCCUUUGAAACGUGAGCGCUAGCUUACGUGGAGGCGCUGGUGGGAUACUACCCUAGCUGUGUUGGCUUUCUAACCCGCACCACUUAUCGUGGUGGGAGACAGUGUCAGGCGGGCAGUUUGACUGGGGCGGUCGCCUCCUAAAAGGUAACGGAGGCGCUCAAAGGUUCCCUCAGAAUGGUUGGAAAUCAUUCAUAGAGUGUAAAGGCAUAAGGGAGCUUGACUGCGAGACCUACAAGUCGAGCAGGGUCGAAAGACGGACUUAGUGAUCCGGUGGUUCCGCAUGGAAGGGCCAUCGCUCAACGGAUAAAAGCUACCCCGGGGAUAACAGGCUUAUCUCCCCCAAGAGUUCACAUCGACGGGGAGGUUUGGCACCUCGAUGUCGGCUC